rnacentral:rRNA from 1 species
CUACACACGUCAUACAAUGGCCGGUACAGAGGGUAGCCAACCCGCGACGGGGGAAGCCAAAUCCCACAAAGCCGGUCGUAGUCCGGAUCGCAGUCUGCAACUCGACUGCGUGAAGUCGGAAUCGCUAGUAAUCGCGGAUCAGCAUGUCGCGGUGAAUACCGGUUCCCGGGUCUU